GAUGAACGCUGGCGGCGUGCUUAACACAUGCAAGUCGAACGAUGAAGCUCAGCUUGCUGGGUGGAUUAGUGGCGAACGGGUGAGUAACACGUGAGUAACCUGCCCUUAACUCUGGGAUAAGCCUGGGCAACUAGGUCUAAUACCGGAUAGGAGCGCCUACCGCAUGGUGGGUGUUGGAAAAAUUUAUCGGUUUUGGAUGGACUCGCGGCCUAUCAGCUUGUUGGUGAGGUAAUGGCUCACCAAGGCGACGACGGGUAGCCGGCCUGGGAGGGUGACCGGCCACACUGGGACUGCGACACGGCCCAGACUCCUACGGGAGGCAGCAGUGGGGAAUAUUGCACAAUGGGCGCAAGCCUGAUGCAGCGACGCCGCGUGCGGGAUGACGGCCUUCGGGUUGUAAACCUCUUUCAGUAGGGAAGAAGCGAAAGUGACGGUACCUGCAGAAGAAGCACCGGCUAACUACGUG
rnacentral:rRNA from 1 species